rnacentral:rRNA from 1 species
UACGUAGGUGGCAAGCGUUAUCCGGAAUUAUUGGGCGUAAAGCGCGCGCAGGCGGUUUCUUAAGUCUGAUGUGAAAGCCCACGGCUCAACCGUGGAGGGUCAUUGGAAACUGGGGAACUUGAGUGCAGAAGAGAAAAGCGGAAUUCCACGUGUAGCGGUGAAAUGCGUAGAGAUGUGGAGGAACACCAGUGGCGAAGGCGACUUCCUGGCCUGUUCUUGACGCUGAGGCGCGAAAGCUGGGGGAGCAAACGGG